GUAGUCUGCAACUCGACUACAUGAAGCUGGAAUCGCUAGUAAUCGCGAAUCAGCAUGUCGCGGUGAAUACGUUCCCGGGUCUUGUACACACCGCCCGUCACACCAUGGGAGUCGGAAAUGCCCGAAGUCGGUGACCUAACCGAGAGGGAGGAGCCGCCGAAGGCAGGUUCGGUAACUGGGGUGAAGUCGUAACAAGGUAUC
rnacentral:rRNA from 1 species